rnacentral:miRNA from 1 species
UCACUUUAGGAGAAGUAAAGUAGAACUUUGGUUUUCAACUUCUACUGUGU